rnacentral:rRNA from 1 species
GACGAACGCUGGCGGCGUGCUUAACACAUGCAAGUCGAACGAAGUGGCGAACGGGUGAGUAACGCGUAAUCAACCUGCCCUUCAGAGGGGGACAACAGUUGGAAACGACUGCUAAUACCGCAUACUGAAGGAGGGGAUUGCGUUUGAUUAGCUAGUUGGAGGGGUAACGGCCCACCAAGGCGAUGAUCAGUAGCCGGGCUGAGGAGGUGGACCGCCACAUUGGGACUGAGACAACGCCCAGACUCCCACGGGAGGCAGCAGUGGGGAAACUUCCGCAAUGGGCGGAAGUCUGACGGAGCAACGCCGCGGGAGUGAUGACGGCCUUCGGGUUGUAAAGCUCUGUUAAGCGGGAAGCGGUACCGGAAUAGAAAGCCACGGCUAACUACGUGCCAGCAGCCGCGGUAAUUC